AUUGAACGCUGGCGGCAUGCCUUACACAUGCAAGUCGAACGGCAGCACGGGUGCCUGCACCUGGUGGCGAGUGGCGAACGGGUGAGUAAUACAUCGGAACAUGUCCUGUAGUGGGGGAUAGCCCGGCGAAAGCCGGAUUAAUACCGCAUACGAUCCACGGAUGAAAGCGGGGGACCUUCGGGCCUCGCGCUAUAGGGUUGGCCGAUGGCUGAUUAGCUAGUUGGUGGGGUAAAGGCCUACCAAGGCGACGAUCAGUAGCUGGUCUGAGAGGACGACCAGCCACACUGGGACUGAGACACGGCCCAGACUCCUACGGGAGGCAGCAGUGGGGAAUUUUGGACAAUGGGCGAAAGCCUGAUCCAGCAAUGCCGCGUGUGUGAAGAAGGCCUUCGGGUUGUAAAGCACUUUUGUCCGGAAAGAAAUCCUUGACUCUAAUACGGUCGGGGGAUGACGGUACCGGAAGAAUAAGCACCGGCUAACUACGUG
rnacentral:rRNA from 1 species